UCCAUCAAAAAAGAGAAAGAAAAACUAGACCAUCCGCUGAACCGCGCGUGACGGGUAGCGACCGACGCACAGGCACAGCCAAAAAAAGUUGCAAGCUAGCAAAAACGAACCCCACUUCGACGGCAGACUACCGCUGACCGCCGCCUUGAUCUGCUUCCGGCGCCACUACGCCGGCCAUGGGCUGUUCGUCUUCUCUGCCAGGUUGGCCUCCUUCUCACCAACAGGCCAAGGUCAGUAGGAUGUUGCCCUACGGGAUGGAUUAAGAUGGGGCGACUUUAGCCUUUCGAUUAACGGCUCAGGAGGCAGGUCAAUGCUGGUGUUGUUUGGGGGUAAAUCUUGGCGGGGACUAGCGACGGCGGCCCGGUAGCAAGUUGCUUAAUUGUUGAGGUGUUUGGUUCGUACUGUAUUUGCAAACAGUACUGGAGGCUUGGGCAAUAUCAACAACGAGAACUCUGCAACUGACUCAAAGAAUUUGAAAGUGAAGUUGGUUUUACUGGGAGAUUCUGGUGUUGGGAAAAGCUGCAUUGUUCUUCGCUUUGUCCGUGGUCAGUUUGACCCCACAUCAAAGGUAACUAUUGGUGCAUCAUUUCUGUCACAAACAUUGGCAUUGGAGGACUCCACAACAGUGAAGUUUGAAAUAUGGGACACUGCUGGCCAGGAGAGGUAUGCUGCAUUAGCACCUCUGUACUACAGGGGAGCUGGUGCUGCAAUCGUUGUCUAUGACAUAACAAGUGCAGAAUCAUUCAUCAAAGCACAAUAUUGGGUGAAGGUCAUCAUGGUGAAGUCGUCCUUUUCUUCAGGAACUCCAACGUACUUACGAAUAGGUAAGGGGGCAGCUCGGCUACGACAACAUGCUUAUGAGGGAAACAAUCUGGGGUUAACCCAUGAAUGAACAUAAGAUUAUCUUUCGAGCUGAACAUAUAGAAUACUUGCUACACAUUUCUUUUGGCCAAAGAUGAGACGGGAUGUUGAGC